UACAAAUAUAGGGUUAAAACCCCCAAAAUUUUAGCCAAAAUCCGACCAAAAGUGGAGAAACCUUUUGGUUUCUCCCUUUUCCGAUCGAGCCUUCGACGAAUCCCAAGGGAUUCGAAGCCCUCUCAAGUCGGAAAAGAGGAUCCUUACGAUGGAGGCGCGGCAAAACGAGUAUCCAUGGCGAGGGGCUGAGUCAACGGUGGUGAAGAAGCACGCCCUUGCCAUUUUGGUGAAAUGGUGGCAGAGGAGGCAGACCUCGGGGCGAGGGGACUUCGAGAAGCAUGCCUACUGACGUGGCGAAGCAGGGGAGCGGCAACGGCAAGGGUUAGGUUUUUUUCUUAGGGUUUCUGAAAAUUGUUUAAGUUUUGGACUUUAGGCUAGGUUUGGGCUUGUAAUUUAGGCCAUUUAUUUUUUUUUUGUAAAUGGACUUUAUUUAUUUUA